CUUGUCAACAAAGUACGAUAGUAGUCGUUUACUGCUAGUUAAAAUACAACUUGUAAGAAUGUAUAAAUAAGGACAAAGUUUAUUUUUAAGUAAAUAAAAUUGUGUUUGAGCAGAUUCGUGUGACGAAACAGGAGGCUUUUCAGAUUGCAAUAUGGAUAAGUAAUAAAAAUAAAUUGCCAUAGGACAAAAUUGACGGUAAUUUUAAAAACACAAAGUAAAAUGAGAUAAUCACUAUUCCUUGGGACUUUUGCGAGAUCAAUACAGGGCGUUUCAAAUGAAACGCAUAAGUAUAGUAUAAAUGGAGGCUAGAUAAGACUGGUAUGUUGUUUAACUAUUCUGCAAUAAAAGUUGUACGUCAUCAUUUGGUUCCAUAAUACUUGAAUAUAAGAAGUGGGACUGACUUCCCCGG